GCCAACGUAGCUCAGCAGGUAGAGCAGCUCACUCGUAAUGAGCAGGUCGCCCGUUCGAAUCGGGUCGUUGGCUC
rnacentral:tRNA from 1 species